UCCCAAAUUCCUAUAAAACAGUUCUAAAUUCCCCUGCCAGCCUUUAGGGCACACCUGGCUGCGUUUUCCCAAGGUUUUGCCUGAUCCUAGGAAGGCAGAAUGAUGAGGAUUCUGCUCACCACAAGCGUGGUCACUUUAUUUAGGCUAUUGUGUUGGUUUAUUGUGGGAUUAUUUUCCAUGUGAAUUCAAUUCUGCCCGGAGGCUUUUCCUCGUCCAGAUUUGCUGCACUGCAAAUGUGGGGCUUAAGGAUCCUGGAGCUGCCCAAUGCUCCCAAUAAGGGGAAAUCCUGGAAUUUCUGCACGGCAUUCUAAAGUGAGCUCCUGGUGGGGAAUUCAAAGCCUGAGGAAGAGGAGUCCCCAUCCUUCCCAGGCUGGCAGUGGGUGCAGCCCUGCUGGAGGUCACAGUGCCCUAAACCAGGAUAUUCCUGCAGGGAAAAAGGAUGGAAAAAUAAUGGAAAAUAUAAUGGAAAAGGAUGGAAAAAGAUGGAGUUGCCACAUGCAAGGGGACAAGGCAGCCCAGCGGCUCCAGGCACAGCCCACCACCGAGCCAUCCCUCCGUUUCCAUGGAUAUCUCCCCAAAAUCAUGGCCAAACAGGGCAAUUAGGCCACCACAAUACCUCUAAUUGCCUGGAUUUUUUCCAGCUCUCUCUCCCCACUUUUCCAGGGGGGAUUUCCCAGCCCUUUUCCAGCAUCCUGCCCCUUCCCAGCUUUUGACAGCUCCCUCCCCACCGGGAGCCCCCGGGACAAAUCGCGGAGCUCCAGGUGACAGAUGCUGCAAUCAACCUGCUCCUAAUUAGCCCAGAGCAGGACGCGCUCAUUCAGAAAAUGUGGAUGUUCCCAGCAGGACCAACGUGUGCUGCCUUUAAUCCCAGGAUUAAAUUUCGGGCUCUGGGCCAGGCUUUAAUAGCAGCAGCCUGGGAUGGCAGCGGAGGACGGAGCGGGAGCGUUCCCGGCGCACCUGAGGAUGCUCAGGUGGCUCCACAAGGACAAGGAGGAGCCUCUGGAAGCUCCUGGAGAAAAGCAGGAUAACCCCAAAAAUCCUGAUCCACUGUGGUCUCUGGAAACCCAAAAUCAGGGAUGGAGGCAGCACAUUCCCACCUUUCAAGGGUUUGUGCGGGUUAAAACCUGCUGGAAAAAAUUCCUCAUUUUGAGCUCGGUUAACCCAGCCCGGGAAAGGGAUUGGAAACGGAGCAAGGGGAGGGUGGGAAAAGUGGGAAUUUCCACUCUCUCCCAUGGUGCCGGGGAGAAAAGGACCUCUUUUCCUAAAGCCUGGCUUUAUUGGGAUUUUAAUGAGCAUUUCGGGCCCAUUCUCUGCCUGCCUUUGAGGCUGUACAGCUGUCAGGGCAUCAAAUAUUCCAGGCAGCUCAUUUGAGUGGAAUUUCGGGAUUUUUUUACAUAUUUUUCCAAAGGAGGCUUUCAUGAUCAGAGUUUAGCAUCCCUUUCAAAGAGCUGCGACUUUGGUGACUCCUUGCUGCUUUUCCUGCCGGCACAAUUCCUCCGGAUUUUAGGCUGGAACAUCAAAAACACUCAUGGCAACACAGAAAAUGCAAUUUAUUAUUAGACAAGGCAGCAAUUCAGGGUGUGAAUUUAUUAAAAAUGAAAUUUUGCUGGAGUGUUUAACAUUCCAGUUCCAAA